GAUGAACGCUGGCGGCGUGCCUAAUACAUGCAAGUCGAGCGAAAAGACGAUGAGCUUGCUGCGCUCUCGUUAGCGGCGGACGGGUGAGAAACACGUGUAUCAUCUACCUAUCAUACUGGGAUAUUCUCGGGACACGGGAGAUAACAGCGGAUAAUAUCUUGCAGCGCAGGGUUCAAUAGUAAGUGACGGCGGUUGUGUCUCUAAUAGCUGCUUCUGGGCCGCAUUAGCUGGUAGUUAAGGUAACGGCUUACGAAGGCAACGAUGCGUAGCCGACGUGAGAGAGUGAUAGGCCACACUGGAACUGGGACGCGGACCAGAGUACUGAGGGAGGCAGCAGUAGGGAAUCUUACGCAGUAGGCGAAAGCCUGACGGAGCAACGGCACGUGAGUGAUGGAGGUCUUCGGUUCGUAAUACUGUCUUAUUAGGGAUGAACAGAUUUGGAAGUAACUGUGGCCGUCUUGACGGUACCGGAUCAGAAAGCCCCGGCUAACUACGUG
rnacentral:rRNA from 1 species